UUCUUAGUGUUGGGUCAUUUUUUGAGUAACCCAAACGCUGGGUUAGCAGUCGGGUCCAAUUGAGUGACAGUUGAGAGAGUUAACCCCUCCCACUCCUCUACGCAUCAGACAAACUCUACCUUCGCGGGCAUUUUGGUCCACCUCAUCUCGAAAAGCUGUUAUUCGGAGAAUAAAAGGAUGCAGAAUAACAGCUAAUAUUAAUGGAUCAUUCUAUUCAAGAGAAUGUCAACUGGAACUUGGAUGUUUUCAUAACAGGCUUAAAGAUGAACAAAUUGAUAAAGAAACCCUCCUGCUGAACAUCCACUUCCAAAAGUGCACGCCACACUGUUGUCUACAAACUCCUUGGAAAAGAAUCCUCUUUAGUAAGACUGCUCCGUGGAUAUUUUAGGUUAAGCAGUGCUGAAACCGAAAGAACUAACACUAUUUAAAAUGUUUUGUGAGUUUAUAUGAAGAGGAAAGUUACGGUGUCCCUUUGUCACAUCCAUAACGCUUGUUUAUUUCUUUUUUUAUAGAAAACUUGUGCAUAGACUAAUAUUUUAUCAUAUAAAUGCGGUUCUAUCAACAAGGGUUUAGUAAAAUACUUUUUAUAGUGUUUUUAUGUCGCAUCCAUAACGCUGGAAUUGCCCUAAAGCAUUUUACUCGUGCCACUUUGUUAACUGUAUAUACAUUUUUGAAGUGUUAAGUUGUCUAACUAUUUAUAUUUACUUUAAUAACUUUAAUAACCUUGUUAAAUGUAUAUGUUAAAAUCUAAACUAAUGUAAUUUAUUGAAGUUAAUUUUCCUUAAAUAUGUAUUAACAUACAUUUCAUCAAAGUGUUUUAUAUGCCAUUUUAUUGUUC